UACGUAGGGUGCAAGCGUUGUCCGGAAUUAUUGGGCGUAAAGAGCUCGUAGGCGGUCUGUCGCGUCGGCUGUGAAACUCGGGGCUCAACCCCGAGCCUGCAGUCGAUACGGGCAGACUAGAGUGCUGUAGGGGAGACUGGAAUUCCCGGUGUAGCGGUGAAAUGCGCAGAGAUCGGGAGGAACACCCGUAGCGAAGGCGGCACUCUGGGCCGGUACUGACGCUGAGGAGCGAAAGCGUGGGGAGCAAACAGG
rnacentral:rRNA from 1 species